rnacentral:rRNA from 1 species
UGAGGAAUAUUGGUCAAUGGACGGAAGUCUGAACCAGCCAUGCCGCGUGAAGGAUGAAGGCGUUCUGCGUUGUAAACUUCUUUUAUCUGGGAAGAAACCACAGAUUUCUAUUUGUGUUGACGGUACCAGAUGAAUAAGCACCGGCUAACUCCGUGCCAGCAGCCGCGGUAAUACGGAGGGUGCGAGCAUUAUCCGGAUUUACUGGGUUUAAAGGGUGCGUAGGCGGGCUAUUAAGUCAGAGGUGAAAUCUCCGGGCUCAACCUGGAAACUGCCUUUGAUACUAUUAGACUUGAAUUAUGUUGAGGUUGGCGGAAUAUAACAUGUAGCGGUGAAAUGCUUAGAUAUGUUAUGGAACACCGAUUGCGAAGGCAGCUGGCUAAACAUAUAUUGACGCUGAUGCACGAAAGCGUGGGUAGCGAACA